rnacentral:rRNA from 1 species
AUUGAACGCUGGCGGCAGGCUUAACACAUGCAAGUCGAGCGGGGAAGGGUAGCUUGCUACCUAACCUAGCGGCGGACGGGUGAGUAAUGCUUAGGAAUCUGCCUAUUAGUGGGGGACAACAUUCCGAAAGGAAUGCUAAUACCGCAUACGCCCUACGGGGGGAAGCAGGGGAUCUUCGGACCUUGCGCUAAUAGAUGAGCCUAAGUCAGAUUAGCUAGUUGGUGGGGUAAAGGCCUACCAAGGCGACGAUCUGUAGCGGGUCUGAGAGGAUGAUCUGCCACACUGGUACUGAGACACGGCCCAGACUCCUACGGGAGGCAGCAGUGGGGAAUAUUGGACAAUGGGCGCAAGCCUGAUCCAGCCAUGCCGCGUGUGUGAAGAAGGCCUUUUGGUUGUAAAGCACUUUAAGCGAGGAGGAGGCUACCGAGAUUAAUACUCUUGGAUAGUGGACGUUACUCGCAGAAUAAGCACCGGCUAACUCUGUGCCAGCCGCCGCUGUAA